rnacentral:antisense_RNA from 3 species
AGAGAGGCUUCCACGACCUUGGUCGUUCGGGGGCCUUUUUCUUUUGC